GAUGAACGCUGGCGGUGUGCUCAACACAUGCAAGCCGAACGGCGAAGCAGAGCUUGCUCUGUGUAUCAGUGGCGUACGGGUGCGUAACACGUGAGUACCUUCCCUCUCACCCUGGGCUAUGCCCCGGAAACGGCGGCUAAUACUGGUUAUGAGCUCCGACUGCAUGGUCAGUUGUUGGAAAGAUGCUUCGGUUUGGGAUGGGCGCGCGGCCUACCAGCUUGUUGGUGAGGUUAUGGCUCAUCAAGGCUUCGACGGGUAGCCGGCCUGGGAGGGUGACCGGCCACGAUGGGACUGAGACACGCCCCAGCCUCCUUCGUGGGGCAGCAGUGAGGUAUAUUGCACAGUGGGCGAAAGCCUGACGCAGCCACGCCGCGUGAGGGAUAACGGCCUUCGAGGUGUAAACCUCUUUUAGCAGAGAAGAAGCGAAAGUGACGGUACCUGCAGAGAAAGCGCCGGCUAACUACGUG
rnacentral:rRNA from 1 species